CUGGAAAUACAUUGCAUCGGGUGGCCCCAAGAACAUGGGCCCCUGAAAGUGCGGGCCUGGCGGUUAUACCGCACGGGCCAGGUCUGCACCACAUGGCCGGCAGGCACCCAGUUGGUGGGGUCCACAGGGCGGCCGGGCCACCUGGAGGGACAGGCCCAGUCGCAGCUGCAACCCCUGCGUUCAUUGAAGGUCUGCCAAAAAACAAAACACAAAGAGAAAUUGAUGGAGAAAGAGAAGGUUAAUUUAAAACGAAAACCCAUAAAGUGUCAGAGCUAAUUACUGUGAAAUAAACACAUUGUAGAACUUUCAAAAUGGCCUCCGUCACAAACACACGGGAUCUCAGAAAUUGCUCUGUCAUUAAGGAGUUAA